UGAUAACCUGUACCACCAAGCCUGGAGCUUCCUUUCUAUCCCUGAACAUAUGACAAUGGAAAACAGACACCUUACCAUAGUAACCAUGGCAGGCAAAACACUCAACUCCUGAGGUUUAUCAUCACAAAAGAAGAGGACAGUGCCUGUAGCUGCAGAUCCAGUAGAGACAAUGCCAUCUCCUGAGACCUGCAGACGACAAAGCUGCCUGCUACCUCACCUGACUGAAGACUCCACAGACACACGCUGAACCCCACAGAGGACAGACUUGGGCCUUCCAGCUACAGAUGCACUCUCUUACCAAAGUCAAAUGGCUGCUGAACUUGGGGAAGCUACAUGACAGUUCACAAAAUGUAAAGGACACUGUCACAUGAUCCUCAGGACAAACAAACUCUGCUCCUCCAUUGAGAAAUACCUCCAGCUGCCUGGAUACCAUCUCAAAACAGAGGUCCCAGCCACUUCAUUUUCAAACACUGUGUUGUGGGGACUCUCUCCUUGCUGCAGCUCAGUGUUUGAGAGGAGUAAAGCUGUCCGUACAGA